rnacentral:rRNA from 1 species
UACGUAGGGUGCAAGCGUUAAUCGGAAUUACUGGGCGUAAAGCGUGCGUAGACGGUUAUGUAAGUCGGGUGUGAAAGCCCCGGGCUCAACCUGGGAAUUGCAUUCGAGACUGUGUAGCUAGGGUACGGAAGAGGGAAGCGGAAUUUCAGGUGUAGCGGUGAAAUGCGUAGAUAUCUGAAGGAACACCAGUGGCGAAAGCGGCUUCCUGGUCCAGUACCGACGUUCGGGCACGAAAGCGUGGGGAGCAAACAGG